rnacentral:rRNA from 1 species
AGAUUGAACGCUGGCGGCAUGCUUUACACAUGCAAGUCGAACGGUAACAGGCCGCAAGGUGCUGACGAGUGGCGAACGGGUGAGUAAUGCAUCGGAACGUGCCCGAGUCGGUGGGGGAUAACGCAGCGAAAGCUGUGCUAAUACCGCAUACGAUCUAGUGGAUAGGAAAGGCGGGGGGAACCGAAAGGCCGUCGCGACGUAGUUGGGAGCGGCCGAUGUCCAAG